rnacentral:rRNA from 1 species
GCCAGACUCCUACGGGAGGCAGCAGUGGGGGAUAUUGGACAAUGGGGGGAACCCUGAUCCAGCGACGCCGCGUGAGUGGAGAAGUAUCUCGGUAUGUAAAGCUCUAUCAGCAGGGAAGAAAGAAAUGACGGUACCUGAGUAAGAAGCCCCGGCUAACUACGUGCCAGCAGCCGCGGUAAUACGUAGGGGGCAAGCGUUAUCCGGAUUUACUGGGUGUAAAGGGAGCGUAGACGGUUGUAUAAGUCUGGAGUGAAAGCCCGGGGCCCAACCCCGGGACUGCUUUGGAAACUGUGUAACUUGAGUACAGGAGGGGCAGGCGGAAUUCCUGGUGUAGCGGUGAAAUGCGUAGAUAUCAGGAGGAACACCGGCGGCGAAGGCGGCCUGCUGGACUGAAACUGACGUUGAGGCUCGAAAGCGUGGGGAGCAAACAGGAUUAGAUACCCGAGUAC